rnacentral:rRNA from 1 species
GAUGAACGCUGGCGGCGUGCCUAAUACAUGCAAGUCGAGCGAAGCGGGGACGGGUGAGUAACACGUGGAUACCCUCCUAUACGACUGGGAUAACUUCGGGAAACCGGAGCUAAACCGGAUACUUAGAGGUGGCUGCGCGCUGCAUUAGCUAUUUGGUAGGGUAAGGGCUCACCAAGGCAACGAUGCAUAGCCGACCUGAGGGGGUGUUCGGCAACACUGGAACUGGGACAGGGUCCAACCCCCUACGGGGGGAAGCAUGAGGGAAUCUUCCGCAAGGGGCGAAAGCCUGACGGGGCAACGCCGGGUGAGUGAUGAAGGUUUUCGGAUCGUAAACCUCGGUGAUUAGGGAAGCGGUACCUAAUCAGAAAGCCACGGCUAACUACGUGCAAGCCGCCGCGGUAAUA